rnacentral:miRNA from 1 species
CACACUUCUGUAUAUGUAUAUGUGUGUGUGUGUGUGUGUGUGUGUGUGUGUGUAUACAUACAUACAUACAUACAUACAUAUAUAUAUAUAUAUAUAUAUA